rnacentral:rRNA from 1 species
GAGUUUGAUCAUGGCUCAGAAUGAACGCUGGCGGCGUGUUUAAGACAUGCAAGUCGAACGGGGUAACAUGAGUAGUAAUACAAGUGUUGCUCAGUGGCGCACGGGUGCGUAACACGUGAGUUACAUGCCCUGCAGAGAGGGAUAGCCCAGGGAAACUUGGAUUAAUACCUCAUGGUCUCGCAAGAGUAAGGAUGGCCGUAAGGCUGUCACUGCAGGAUUGGCUCGCGGCCUAUCAGCUAGUUGGUGAGGUAAUGGCUCACCAAGGCUACGACGGGUACCUGGUCUGAGAGGACGAUCAGGCACACUGGAACUGAGACACGGUCCAGACACCUACGGGUGGCAGCAGUCGAGAAUCAUUCACAAUGGGGGCAACCCUGAUGGUGCAACGCCGCGUGGAGGAAGAAGGUCUUUGGAUUGUAAACUCCUGUCAUCUAGGAGCAAGGCAUGGUGGUGAAUAGCCGACAUGAUUGAUAGUACUAGAAGAGGAAGGGACGGCUAACUUCGUGCCAGCAGCCGCGGUAAUACAAAG